GUUAAAGCAGAACUAAGUAACUUUUUUUACCUUAACUGAACAGCUUUGGAGUCAUUGUAAUGUUAAUAUUACUGAUUUCGUGUUGAAUGGUGAUCAUCUCGCACCCCCCUGGUGCCUGUAAGCCGCAAAACCACCCUUGCAACUUUAGGCCGGCGGCUCGCCGGCCUCAGUGUUAGGAAGUAUCGUGAGAUUUCAGGUCUCGCGAGGUAACGAAUUGCUUUACGGCACUAUACGCGCACACGCAUGCGUACACGUCCCCAUCCAUCCAGGAGCCGGCUAGCUAUAAGAAAAAGGUAACGCUAGAUAUUGAAUUCUUCACGUUUUCGUGAUGGCUGAUGUAAAAGAAGAAGAAGAAAGCUCGGAAGUGUUUAUCAGAGGAACAAAGAAAGAGAAAACGGACCGGCUUUUUCAGAAUAGAGAGAACUGAAAGAAAGUGAAGCCUGCAAAACCGAUGCUGACCUGGCCUUCUUGCUGUUGCACUUCUACAAGCGUUGGCAAGUGUUAUCAACUCCGAGGCACCCCAGACCACCAGUACCACCGGUCUCAAGCUUCAAUAAUAAAAUAAACAAUCUUGUAAUAAACAAA